AUGGAGCUUGUGGUGGGCGCGUCGGAGGCGACGAUGAAGUCCCUCCUGGGCAAGCUGGGCGGCCUUCUCUCCCAGGAGUACACCCUGAACAGGGGAGUCAACGGCGACCUCCAGUACAUCAACGACGAGCUACGCACCAUGCAGUCCUUCCUCCGUGCCGUCGGCAAGGGCCACGGCCACGGCCACGACGACCUGAUGGACGACUGGAUGAAGCAGAUCCGCGACAUCACGUACGACAUUGAAGACUGCAUCGACGACUCCGCCGACCGCCUCCACGGCCUGCGCUCCGACGUCUGCUGCUACUUCCUCGUCAACAGCGUGUACGAGGUCCUCACGUGGUGGCCUCGCCGCGACGUCGCCAGCCGGAUCUCCGUCCUCAAGAUGCGGGCGCAGCAGAUCGGCGAGCGGCGCAACCGCUACGGUGUCAACAACCCGGAGACCGGCGCCGGCGGAGCCCCCACGGGCACUCGCGGCACUGCCGUUGGGUUCGACGCCGCUGACAACCAGGAGGAGAGCCUGCAGCUUGUCGCGUUUAAGGGUCCGGUGGGGGUGGAGGAGCACAUGCGGGAGCUGGAGAAGCCGGUGACCUGCAUCGUGGGUUCGGCGGGGUGGGGAAGACCGCCAUUGCAACGGCCCUGUACAGGAGAUUUGGGGACAAAUUCCACCACCGGGCCAUGGUCACGGUGUCUCAGAUCUCAGACCUGGGGGGCAUUCUCAGAAGCAUCGACGGUCAAGUCAGGCCGCAGGCAAGCAAUGAGAAGCAGCAAAGCAGCUCAGCCGAGAGCGGUAUCACAGCAGCCAUCAAAGGUAUACGGGGUCACAUCAGCCGAGGCGCGUCAGCCGUCAUGGCCAAGUGCUGCGGCGGCGCCGGCAUCCCCGAGGAAGACAGGGCAAAGCUGGAUCUACUCAAGAAAGACCUCAAGGAGCACUUCAAGGAAAACAGUUAACUUCGUACAACAAAUUCAUCAGGGAUGCCGGAUAAUGCUGACCUGUUUGGUAACAUUCAUACCGAACAUGACAGUUCAAUUUGCAUGUUGGGCUCGUCCACAUUUACUUGAUCUUAAUUGA
rnacentral:rRNA from 1 species